rnacentral:rRNA from 1 species
CCUGGUUGAUUCUGCCCGCUUAUAUAUGCUUGUCUCAAAGAUUAAGCCAUGCAUGUCUAAGUAUAAACACGUUAUACUGUGAAACUGCGAAUGGCUCAUUAAAUCAGUUAUAGUUUAUUUGAUGGUUUUUGCUACAUGGAUAACUGUGGUAAUUCUAGAGCUAAUACAUGCGUACAAGCCCCGACUUCUGGAAGGGGUGUAUUUAUUAGAUAAAAAUCAACACUGUUGGUGAAUCAUGAUAACUUCUCGGAUCGCAUGGCCUCGUGCUGGCGAUACUUCAUUCAAAUAUCUGCCCUAUCAACUGUCGAUGGUAGGAUAGAGGCCUACCAUGGUUGCAACGGGUAACGGGGAAUAAGGGUUCGAUUCCGGAGAGGGAGCCUGAGAAACGGCUACCACAUCCAAGGAAGGCAGCAGGCGCGCAAAUUACCCAAUCCCGACACGGGGAGGUAGUGACAAUAUGUAACAAUAUACGGCUUUAUCGUCGUAUAAUUGGAAUGAGUACAAUUUAAAUCCCUUAACGAGGAACAAUUGGAGGGCAAGUCUGGUGCCAGCAGCCGCGGUAAUUCCAGCUCCAAUAGCGUAUAUUAAAGUUGUUGCAGUUAAAAAGCUCGUAGUUGGACCUUGGGCCUGGACGGGCGGUCCGCCUCACGGCGUGUACUGUCUUGCCGGGCCUUUCCUCUUGGUGAUCUGUUGUUUCGGCAGCAGGGAACCAGGACCUUUACUUUGAAAAAAUUAGAGUGUUCAAAGCCAGCUCGACGCCGGAAUAUAUUAGCAUGGAAAUAUAAAAUAGGACGUGCGGUUCUAUUUUGUUGGUUUUUGGAAUCGCCGUAAUGAUUUAUAAGGAACGUCGGGG